rnacentral:rRNA from 1 species
UACGUAGGGUGCAAGCGUUUAAUCGGAAUUACUGGGCGUAAAGCGUACGCAGGCGGCUGUGUAAGACAGGUGUGAAAUCCCCGGGCCUAACCUGGGAACUGCAUUUGUGACUGCAUAGCUAGAGUCUGUCAGAGGGGGGGUGGAAUUCCACGUGUAGCAGUGAAAUGCGUAGAGAUGUGGAGGAACACCGAUGGCGAAGGCAGCCCCCCUGGGAUAAGACUGACGCUCAUGUACGAAAGCGUGGGGAGCAAACAGG